ensembl:lncRNA novel transcript
GUGGGGAGGAGUGGAAACAGUAAGAAAGGAAGCUGAGGAGAUGGGGGAGGAGGUGAGGAAGAAAGGAAGUGGGGGAAGGGCAGAAGGGAAAAGGGGUGGCAGAGUAAAAUGGGCUCCGUCAGAGAGGAAGGGGCUACGAGGGGAAAAAGGCUAGCAGUGAGGGAGAGGAGGAGGACUGCAGGCGGAAGAGCGCGCGCGUUUUAGGAUCCCCGACUCAGAAGCUCUGCCUGGCCUCAGGAUGUGGCGAGCCUCAAGAGACGGUUUGAAGGUGUUUGUGCCAACGUGACCCCCGGGGAGAUUUGGAGGAAGCUUUCUACGUCCUAGGAGGCUGAGAUCCCACGGAGCCGGUUUACGGUUGAGAGCAGACAGUUUCGAGUAGAUAGCGCUGGAAGAGACACGAAGAAUCUCUCUUGCUUCUUGGAACGCGAUAACCACAUUUCUUUCUCUGUUACCCCACUACUAAAAAUCAGCAAUCCGCACAGAGCAGGCAGCCGCUUUGGUUCGAAUGAAUUAAUUUGCCCAAGACAGCAGCCGCUCUUCUGAAGUCAGAUUACAUUUUUAAAAGUUUAUACACAUUGAAAUUUCGCUACAGAAAGUUAAAAGCACGCUAGCAACAACAAAAAAAGUUAAGGAAUGCAUUCAGAAUUCCAAUUUAAUCCUCAAGUUAAAACUGCUCACUGCACGCCCAAAUAGCACACGCAAACAGUACAAAUAAAUGUCUGUAUACAGGA